UACGUAGGGGGCGAGCGUUGUCCGGAAUCAUUGGGCGUAAAGCGCGUGUAGGCGGCUUGGCAAGUCUUGCGUGAAAUCCUGCGGCUCAACCGCAGGCCUGCGCGGGAUACUGCCUCGCUAGAGUCCGGAAGAGGAGAGUGGAAUUCCCAGUGUAGCGGUGGAAUGCGCAGAUAUUGGGAGGAACACCCGUGGCGAAGGCGGCUCUCUGGGACGGUACUGACGCUGAGACGCGAAAGCGUGGGGAGCGAACAGG
rnacentral:rRNA from 1 species